ensembl:lncRNA
CCUCUCUCCUCUGAGACCCCUCCACCAGACCCUCUAUCCCCAUCACCUCUCUCCUCUGAGACCCCUCCACCAGACCCUCUAUCCCCAUCACCUCUCUUCUCUGAGACCCCAAGUACAGUCCAGGACCUACUCACCCACCAUAGACCUUCCCUGGAACAUGCCCUCUUCCAGAGUCCCCUGGAGGACAGACCAAGGCUGUAUUCACCACCACUGCCUCAACCUCCCCAGCGAGCAGAGUCCAACUCCCAGACAGGCCUUAUGCACCUGGACUAUGGACAGAGCCUCUAUAAGCCUGAUGAUUGCUAGGUGAUCCAGGAAGAGGGCAGAAGGACAACCGAAGGAUUAUGGGACAAGCAAACUCUUCAAGCAAAAAUAAUGUUAAGCAGAUGAUCUACCCUCAAAAUGUGUCAUUAUUUUCAAUAGUAUGUCCCUCCUUUUUAUACCAUACCAUGACUAUUCCUUUAUAUUUGGAUGUGAGCCAUUUAUUCCUUAUGAAUAUUGUUAUAACAUUCUCAGAUUCACACACAUUUAUUUUGUAUUGGAAUUGGUUGUACUCAGUUUUAUGGACCUUCCUGCUGUACAUAUCCACACUUGGUUUGGCCUGACGACUGCCUCACUUGGAUGUCUUCCAAUAUGAAGGUUGUACAGUAGAAUUCGGCAUGCAGCAAUAUAACAAGCCGGAACAUUCCUGAAGAUGCCUCACUGCAUUGUGGAUAAACUGUUGACUUCAUGCACCAGUCCAGUCAACAGGCUACAACUCUUCCUCUCUGUCACACACACACACACGCUAUCACACAUUCCACUGCAACAAAUCAGUCCUCUGUCUGCCUGCUUAGAAUCCAGAUAAGAUAUCAAUCGAUGUAAAUGUAUGCUACCAAAUUGCUAAAAGAUGAACAGCUAAUGUCAGUCAGUUUUCCUUCAGCAGACUUAUGGAAAAACCUGCACCUGAAGCAGUGCAGUGAACUAAUCUCAGAACAUGAUCUGUACCUCCUGUUUCAUACAGAUAGCAAUGUUCUAACCCCUUCCUCCAUAUGGAAACACAAAAAAACAACAAAAAAGGGACUAUGGCCCUCUUCAGUUUCAUCUCUGUAUUGAACAAUGUCUUAGUAUAGGAGACUGGUGUAGAGAUAAGACACAAGAUCAGGAAUGUGAAGAUGUGGCACCAUGUAAUUCUUAGUCCCAAAGGAAAGGUGCUGUACACACUAAGUGGAGUGGUGCUCUGUUUCUCACCCAAUUUAGGAUCUGAAGAC